CCUACGGGUGGCAGCAGUGAGGAAUAUUGGUCAAUGGACGAGAGUCUGAACCAGCAACGUAGCGUGAAGGAUGAAUGCCCUAUGGGUUGUAAACUUCUUUUAUAUGGGAAUAAAAUGUUCCAAGUGAGGGAUUUUGUAUGUACCAUAUGAAUACAGAUCGGCUGACUCCGUGCCAGCAGCAGGUGUAAUACGGAGGCGCCGAGCGUUAUCCGGAUUUAUUGGGGUUAAAGGGAGCGUAGGGGGAUUGUUAAGUCAGUUGUGAAAGUUUGCGGCUCAACCGUAAAAUUGCAGUUGAGACUGGCAGUCUUGAGUACAGUAGAGGUGGGCGGAAUUCGUGGUGUAGCGGUGAAAUGCUUAGAUAUCACGAAGAAUUCCGAUUGCGAAGGCAGCUCACUGGACUGCAACUGACACUGAGGCUCGAAAGUGUGGGUAUCAAACAGGAUUAGAUACCCGAGUAGUC
rnacentral:rRNA from 1 species